GACAAAAUGGACAGAAGGGCGGGACUGACACAAAAAGGCGCAAAUACAAAUCCAUCUGCUACUUCAGCACCACAGACAGCGCCAUGGAUUUAUCAAUACUCAGCACAGUUAGGCUACUGAUAUUUCAGAGCCAUGGUUGGAGCCAUAGAUUCUAGCUCGCACAAACCUCAGUCAGAUCAAUGAGUCAGGCGGACUAGACUAACAUAUUCGACUAAACAAUCCCUCUGCCACUACACUCUCUCUGCUACUAAGGGGAUGGAGAGGGGGGAUGGCAGAUUUACAAGGGGAUUCAUUUUGGUUAACAAGGGGGAUGGCGUCCCCUUCAUCCCUCCUUAAAUUUCCUACUGUGUGCAGUCUAAUCCAAUCCAGUAUAAAUCUAAUUUUUGAGGGGGGAAUCAUGAUACUAAAAUUCUGGCUCGUUCUUAUUACUUUGAUUCCCUAUAUUUAAAAAUAAAUAAAUAAACAAGCCUUUACUUGGUAUUUUUAUCUUUCCCGGUUGCCUCUAAAGUUACACAUUUUAAGACUCUGGCCUCUAUUCAUUUCAUUAGGGUUUUGUUACAAAAUAGAUUCACAUUUGAUCAUGAACCAUGCUCUUUCUGCACCUGGUGAACAGAAACCUAUAAUAUUUUGGAAAUUACAUGUACAUCAGGUUAUUUUUAAAGCUUGAUAAUGUCCCAGUAUUUAAAUUUUCCCAUAUUAGACAAUCUUCUAUCUAGUAUAUCUCAUUUGAUUAAUCUAAUAAAAAAUUCAGACAAAUACCAUAUUCAUACAUCAAAGUGGAGAGGCAUCAAACACAACUUUGUUUAUGAUUGAUUUAUCAUUUUUAAAUACUUAAAAUAGGCUACAGCAAAUAAGAACAAAUCUACAAUUAUUAAGGCAAUGUCUCAGUAUUCAGAGAUUUUGAAUGAGACUGCUCUGAGUGACAUUAUCAUUGUGUGGUGUCAAAUUAUUUGUGAAUGUCUGGCAGGUCCGCAAUAUUGUGCCAAUGUAUCAUAAACUAAAAUGCAUGGGCGCCACGCAUUAAUGUGGAAGUGUAAUUUACUGUACUUCCGGUAGUACUGCUAUCUUGACGCAUGUGUGAACAUGCGCCUCAUAUCUGCGCUCUGGACGAAACGGAGCUGAACGAGCAGCGCUGCUCUCGGAGCAGAUCACACACUGGCUACUGCUCACUGCUGGUCAUGAUCAGUACACCUGACUUCAGUAUCUUUCUAUCAAUAACUGUUUUCUCUGGAUCUAUUAUCCGCUAUUGAUCUUCUGUCGGUAUGCGUCCAUAUUGGAUAAGUAGUGAGAGACAGCGAGCAGGAGGGAUUGAGCAGAUACAAAGUGGAGGGAGAGGACCUCCAAAAUUAAACACUGAACAGACGUAUCUCCACCUGAAUGCUGUUGUAACAUCAUCAGAUACGAAGCAGAAGGGAUGAAUUCUUUGAUUUAUCCACAAGGAAUACCCAUUAACUUUAACUAACAGUUUUCCAGGGAACAGCUGCCUCGCUCCUGUCAACACAGGAACUACUCAUCCCUGACUUCCUGUCUACCCAGAAUUCUCUGAGGCCCACCUACACCUCAUCUAUUUCUGUCUUUCAUUAAACCUGUGAAGCAUGUGUCAGUUAAAUAAGGAGUUACAUAAGUCUGAACAAUGCAAUUAUUUGCUCAAUAAAAUGAUAUAUUUUUCCAAGGACAUUUAUAUCCUGUUAUUUGAAAUAGUAAUAGAUGUGGUGUUAUCAAAAGCACAUAAAGGGGUGUUUUAAAGAUUAGAUGUUAUAAUUGCAAAUAUUUUUGCAAUAUAGUGUCCCUGAACACCAGCAGGAGACUCUGCUCUGAUUGAAUUUGAAAGUUUUCAAGGACUUUAAUGGUAAAAUAUUCUUUCAGUUUGUUGCUCUUGAGAGUUUUUUUUUUUUAAGAUGUGUCUUUAUUUUUGAGAUUUGUUCUCAGAGACAAAAUCAAAAAACCUUGAGAGACACCAGAAUUCAGUUAUGCAGAAUUUAAACAAAACUGAGAGCAAAAUGCUUUUCUCAUGAGCUUCUUGUAUAAUCCAGCUUUAAACAUAUAAGAAAUGUAAGCUAUGUGUUCAUUUUUAAUUAGAUUUCUUUUUAUUUUUUAAUAUCAAAUAUUGAAACAGAGUCUUCAUUAUUGCAUUAUUUGAGUUACCAAAUUCAUCCAACAGUUACUUUUAGUGAGGAGGAUCAGUGGUCAGAACACUACUUCAAUACAGAAAAUGUAUUGAAGUAGUGUACUUAAAGCUGCUCUGAUGAAUAUUUUUAUAUAAACAAUGGUUCAAAUAACUACUUGUAUGUGAAAAAGUGUUGCUUGUACUGAUGAACCCACAGAAAAUGAUCACCCAACUCUGCAGUUUCCCUCGGUUCUGUGGAGGACUUUAGCGCCUUAACCUUUUUUUUUGUUUUACGGCCCGCUACUUUAUUGUUUUUGGUCAAGUCUCACUGCUCUCGUCAGUGUUGUUUGCCACAGCAGCAGGUAGCUGUUUUGCUGUUUUGCAGAAAAACAGCUCUGAUAAACCCAGUGUACAUUACCUGCCCAGAACCAAACUGUAGACAGACAAAGUUAGCAACUAGCUUGUGAACUUAGUGGCGCAUUUAGCAGCUAAGGAGCUAGCCCAGUGUGGGACACUCUGGGACUGAAAUAGUGCCAGUUGCUCCCCAUUGAAAAGCUUUCCUUAUGCAGAACUGAAAAAUUCUGCGUGAAAACACUUCCAAUAAGGCAUAAAUUUUACCUUUAUAUCGCUUGUCCGAGUGAGUCUUCUUAACCUCAUUCUGAUGCACCAAGCUGUAAUUGGCUCAUUACUUCCCACCAUAAGCGGCGUUAGUGCACAGUAGCCAGCAGUUUAUUUAGGGGAGGCUCAGUCUGUUUGCCAGUAGUUACUGCAAAUUUAAAAAAAAAACAGGGUUUUGUUGAGGGUUAAAUGUGUUCAGAGAUAAUUUUGGGGAAGCUAAGGUUCCCCCUAGUCUCUUAAUAGCCUAUGCUCCCUACAGAACUACAGUUGGUGAGAACCACAGUUGAAAAAGGUGUUUGAGCCCAUUCCACAUUCGAAAACAAACUGGGACAAGCAACACAAAGGUGAGAUUUAUACUUUAAGACUAACUGGUUAACUACCCCAUCUCAGAUAAAGAGUAACGAGUAGACCCCUCCCUUAGCUUUUCAGUGGGAAGCAUCCUGGACAAUCCCAAACCGGGCUUGGUAAAGACCAAAACAGAGCUAAGAAGGGAGUGAAUAUUGAAUUUACAGUCACCAAGUGAACAGAAACAUGACUCUGAAUAAAUGCUCUGGUGGAUGUUUAAAUGGUUAAAACUGUAAUAGCCUACGUCAGUGUUGUGUUUACGUCUAUGGUUUACGCCUUAUAGUGCUGCCUCCAAGUGGUCAAAAAUCAAUAAGUACAAUCUUGAGGUAUCUGUACUUGUACCUUACAAGCCACUAGAUUUAUUGAAACACUCUUUGUUCACCCACACAGGUAUCACUCACUGCCUUAUUAGACCUCCUCUCAGGACUCACUCUCCUGUCCAGCUUCAACCUGAGCAGAGGUUUAAUCAUCCAGUAUAAGUGAAAACACCUGUGUGGGUGUGCAAGGCCUUUAACAACUAUAAUUACUUUGCAGAUUAAUAUUUUACAUAGAAAUGUUUGAUUAUCUUAUAAAGUACAAUAACAAUAACAAUAGUAUACAGUGUAAAGUAGUUGAAAUAAGCUUCACCUCAACCAGCUUCAAUACUACUACUAAUAAUAAUUCAGCACUAUCAUAUAUAAUAAUAUAACACUAACACUUCUCCCUGCAUAACAGUACCUUUACUAUUGAUACUUUAAGUACAUUUUGCUGAUAAUACUUAUGUAAUUUUAAGUACAAUUUUGAAUGCAUUUUUUUACUUGCAAUGGAGUAUUUAUAUGUUGUUGUACUGCUUCAUUUACUCUAAGAUCCUAUCCAGACAUGUUUUAAGAUGUUUUAAGUUUUAAGAAAAUAUCUUAAAAUCUUAAAAUGACGUCUCCUUCAUU